rnacentral:rRNA from 1 species
AUGUUUGCUUGGAUUGCGCAGGUAUUGGAAGUCUUGUCUUCCUCCACAGAACCCGUAGAUCUUCCAUAUAAAGUGGAUAUUGCAUAUCAUUCUAGAGUGGUCACUUCACCAUCAAGUUCGUCAGAAUCAGAUGACGUGCUCAAGCAUGUGCCAUCAAUCCCUGAACAGCUAAAGGACUGGGAGCAUGGUCUGACGGAAACAGAUGCAGAUGGGUCUUUCUAG